CUCAGGUGCGUUACAUGGGGUCCGAGGGGGUUUAAGGGGGAUUUUGGAGGCAUAUCAAAAUGUUUCAGAUCAUUUUCGGCGUGAUUUGGAGGCGUUACGGAAGCGUUACGGAGGAGUUUUCAGGGUGUUCGGAGCCUCUCAGGUGCGUUACAUGGGGUCCGAGGGGGUUUAAGGGGGAUUUCGGAGGCAUUUCAAGACGUUUCAGAGCAUUUUCGGCAGGAUGCAGAGGCGUUACUUAAGCGUUACGAGGAGUUUUCGUGGGGUUCGGAGCCUCUCAGGUGCGUUCCAUGGGGUCGCCGGGGGUUCAAGGGGGAUUUUUGAGGCAUUUCAGGAAGUUUCAGAGCAGACUCUGAAAUUCCUUAAAUCGCCCCUCAAACCUCAUGCACCCUUUAAAGUCUCCUGAGAUCCCUUGAAUUGCCCCUAAAGCCCCUUGGAACGCCCCUGAAACUCACUUAAUACUAUUGAAAUACCCCAGAAUUCUCCGUAAUCCCAUGAAAACACCAAAAAAUCUUGACAGAACACCCUUGUAAGGCUCCUCAAACCCCCCGAAACAACCCCUUGAAACGCCCCUGAAGCCCCUUGGAACCCCCUUUUUGGGCUCUCUGGGAACAUUCUGGAAACCCCCUUAGCCCCACCUCAUCUGCCCAGGAGCAAGAUCUGUUCUCGCAAGCUAGAUUUUCUAAUUAAAGCCCAAACUUAAUUUAUGCAUAAAUUUCCCUCUUUUUAUGCCUUUUUUAAUUUAUGCACAUUUUUAAUUUAUGCAGUCCCAGCCAUGUGCAUAAAAAGAGGUUCCAGUGUACCUAGAUGAAGAACGAAUGAAUUUGUAACCAUGAAAAUUUACGAUAGAAAACUUCUUCAACAGUUGUUUUUUUCAAAUCGGUAUCUAUUACAUGGAAAAGACUCAAACAAAAAUCGAAAGGAAGCUUAAAUGUAGAAUUCUAGCUCGAAUAGUUCUGUUGGUGUGGCUAUAGUCGAUGCAAAACAGAAUACAUUGAACAAUUCUAUAUAUCGCACACCCUCAAGACAUAUCCCCCUUUUCUCCAACAACAACGCUUGCCUCCGGGACGAUCCUAAACACCCCCACUCGUCACAACUUGACAUAUUUAUGACCGUUUGGAACCGCAAUUAGCUGUGUGAUUGAUGACUUGUGGUACGGCAGUUGAAAGUUAUUAAAUAAAUCAUUUGCUGAGCCGUUCGUCAGUGGAUGCACUCAUUUUUUUCCUCUCUCGUAAAAUGCAUUUCCCCCUGAAAAAAAUGAGUCCUCGAUUUGCAGCAAAUUACAACUUCAAUGCCGCAUGACCGGAACCGUGCCAAUCGGAUCCAGAUGAGUGUAUUCAAAGCGUGUAAUUCACACAGCAGCCUAAACAGUUUGUCCCCACUACUGGCUGGCUGACUACCUAUUAGUGGGAUGCAUUUCGGCGUUCGACUUUUCAAACAAGCGGAUCUGUGGCAAUUAGCAAUUUGAUUUGUUUAUAUUGGCGCAGAAUGGCCUCGGCCAAGGUUGUGGGAGAUGGCGCGCGUGAAAAGUCUCACUUUUUAGCAUGUCAGUUCGAUUUGCUGAUGCUUUGCAUCGAGAUACGGACGGACCAACCAGCAUAAGGGAGAAUGGAAUGGAAUUGAUCUCAAUGUGCCUUCUUUUUCAUCGGGUGUUAAUAUUCCACUUGGACACAACCUAUUUCUCAGCUUAGUGUUCAAUGAGUAUUUACUUCUACAAUAAUUUUCUGAAAGCUUUCUCUGUCAAUUUCCAUUUUCAAUUUGUACGUCGUGUGGCAGGAUGUUAAGGAAAUUUUCAUUACGAAAAGUUCCUGGACCGAUCAGACAUCGAACCCGGUCUUCCCUCCCUCCCUUGACAUCACUUUCUUUCUCGAUGGUCGGUUCCUUCAAUCUGCAUACAUUUUCCUCUCUACAUGUCGAUAUGUCCAUAUCUCAACAUCCCCUUAUCAUCAUGUGGUAUUGUUCGGUUUUUGUUCUAGAUAUUCUCUCUAUUGGGCUAUGCACGACACGGUUGCUAAUGAGAAAUGAGAGGACCAGAAUCAAAAGGGUGUAAGUGAUUAUUUUGUCGAUUUUGAGCUGAGUAUAUCAAAAAAUUCUUCAGAUUUCAAGCUUUCGGGAACUUUUUUAAGAUUAUUUUUAAGAUAAUAAGAAAAAUUACAAUAAAUCGUAGAAAAUCAAUUUUGAAACUCCAUACAUUUUGUAUGGGAUGAGAAAUUGGUGAAAACUUUAAACCUCAUUUACUCAAAAGUGGGUUUUUUCACUUACACCUCUUUGCUUCUAACCUCCUCAAAUUUCUGUAGCUUCCUUCCCAUGAUUGAGUUCAAAAUGUAAGGCUUGCGCAAGCUGAUUUAUGGUGGCAUCCCUCCAGAAGCUCCUUCUGGGACUUUCCCAAGAAUCCCUUCCGCGGUUAUGAGAUUUUUUCAAGAGUUUCUGGUUUGUUCCAGAAAUUCCUCUCAAAAUGUCUCUAGGAAUUCUUUCUGAGAUUCCUCAAGGAAUUCCUCCAGAAUUACCUUCUGAGACUAGCAGAUAUACCUUUAAACCCCAGCUAACUCUGAGAUUUUUUCAGGCUUUUUUAGAUUCCUUUUGGGACUUCUAGGGAUUCCUUCCGAGAUUUCUCUAGGUGUUUCUUAAAUCUUUAGGAAUUAUUUACGAGAUUACUUCCAGAAUUCCCCCGAAAUUCCUCCAAAUAUUCCUUCCGAUAUUCUUCUUAUAGUUUCAUUUGGAAUGUCUUCAGCAGUUUUGAGGAAUUCCUUACAAGACUUAUGGAGGAAUUCCCUAAGAAAUUUAUAAAUGAAUUUCUCAAGGAACUCCUGUAGAAACUUUAUAAAAAACUCCUUAAAUAAUUCCAUAAGGAAUGCCACAAAAAAUCCCGUAAUACACUUCUGAAGGAUUUCCAUGCCAGAAACAUUUGGGAGAGUUCCAGAAUUCCAGGAGGACUGCAGAAAAUUUAGAAGGAACUCCUGGAGGAAUCAACAAAAGAGUUGCUAGAUGAAUCAUUGACGGAGUCUCUGAAAAAAAAUAUCCCGAAGCAGGUUUCAAAAAAAUCCGGAAGGGGUUUCCGAAAGCAUCUUGGAAAAAGUUUCCAUAAGAAGUUCUUAAAAGAUUCUUGGAAGAAGUUCCUGGAGGAAUCUUUCUUGGAAAAAUUUUGGAACGAGUUUUUUGAAAAAAAUCAAAAUAAUUCAUAGAGGCACCUGGAAGGAGUUCCUGAAGCGAUUCCGGAAGUAGUUGAUGAAAAGAAUCCCGGCAGGAGUUCCUGGCGGAAUCCCGAAGCACGUUUUUGGAAAAAUGCCGGAAACAGUUUUUGGAGGAUUACCGGAAAAAGUUCCACAAGGAAUCUCAGAAGUAGUUCGCAAUGAAAUCUUGGAAGUAAUUCCUGAAGGAAUCGGAAAAGGAGUUCAUGAAUAAAUCCCGCAAGAAGUUCCCGGAGGAAUCCCGGAAGAAGUUCCCAAAGGAAUCCCGGAAGAAGUUCCAGUAGGAGUCCUGAAGAAGGUUCUUGGAGGAAUCCCGGAAGGAAUUUCUGGUGAAAUCUCGAAACGAGUUCUUAAAAGUAGUUUAUGAAACAAUCUUAUGAGGAGUUCCUGGAGGUGUUUCAAAAAGUUCUUGUAGGAAUACCAGAAGCAGUUUUUGGAGACGUCCCGGAAGGAUUUCCUAGAUGAAUUUCAAAAUUCAUAAGAAAUCUCAGAAGGAAAACCUGGGAAAUACUUUAAGGCAUCCCUGCAGGAAUUUUUAAAGGAGUUCCUAAAGAAAUCCCGGAAUGAAUUCCUGAAGCAAUACUGGAAAUAAACGUCUGGAAUUACAAGAAUUAAUCUCUAGGGAAAUUCCUGGAAUGAUCUCAGAAGGAUCUUAGGAGGAUCUCCUGAAGGAAUCCUUAAUAAUCUAUAAUAAAAAUCUCAUAUGAAACUUCCAGAGAAGGCUCUACCCCAUUUGGCAUAAUGCCAUUUGGCAUAACGCCGUUUGGCAUAAUGUCAUUUGGCAUAAAGGCCAUUUGGCAUAAUGGCCAUUUGGCAUAAUGCCGUUUGGCAUAACACGAAGAACAGCCUUCUUGAUAAGAAUGUGCAUAAUAUUUGUUAUGCCAAAUGGCCAUUAUGCCAAAUGGCCGUUAUGCCAAAUGGCCAUUAUGCCAAAUGGCCAUUAUGCCAAAUGGCCUUUAUGCCAAAUGACAUUAUGCCAAACGGCGUUAUGCUAAAUGACAUUAUGCCAAAUG